UACGUAGGGUGCAAGCGUUAAUCGGAAUUACUGGGCGUAAAGCGUGCGCAGGCGGGUCUAUAAGACAGAGGUGAAAUCCCCGGGCUCAACCUGGGAACUGCAUUUGUGACUGUAGAGCUGGAGUGCGGCAGAGGGGGAUGGAAUUCCGCGUGUAGCAGUGAAAUGCGUAGAUAUGCGGAGGAACACCGAUGGCGAAGGCAAUCCCCUGGGCCUGCACUGACGCUCAUGCACGAAAGCGUGGGGAGCAAACAGG
rnacentral:rRNA from 1 species